rnacentral:piRNA from 1 species
UCCUUGCUGUGGAAGGUGAACUUCUG